rnacentral:rRNA from 1 species
CAGUAGCCACGGUAAUGCGUAGGUGGCAAGCGUUGUCCGGAAUUAUUGGGCGUAAAGGGUGCGUAGGCGGCCCCGCAAGUCUCAUGUGAAAUCUUCAGGCUCAACUUGAAGUCUGCAUGGGAAACUGCGGGGCUGGAGUAUGGGAGAGGUGAGUGGAAUUCCUGGUGUAGCGGUGAAAUGCGUAGAUAUCAGGAGGAACACCUGUGGCGAAAGCGGCUCACUGGACCAUAACUGACGCUGAGGCACGAAAGCUAGGGGAGCAAACAGGAUUAGAUACCCCCGUAGUCCCUGUCUCUUAUAC